GGCCCUGUUCCCAGCUAAUCAUGCACGUAGGUAGGAGUGAGGAAAACAUGAGGGCAGGCAUGCUGACCACUGCUCUUUCUCCCUAGCUGGGAUGGCCCUUUUUUGUCUGACUUUCUUACUCAUUUCCUCUUUUAGCUAGUGUCUUCCUGCUGUGUUCUAUCAACAGCAGGACAGUUGAGGCAGUUUUCUUUUGGGAAGUAUCCACCCUAUGGGCAUGGAGAGCCGAAUCCAAUUUGGAACAUGUGCCCAAAAUGAAAGGAGAAACGAGGCUAAUUUCCUUUCAUAGUGCAAGUCAGAAGCAUGGGAUGGGGUAGUGAGGAGAAAAACAGGAAGCUACUUAGUAAGGAUGAUAAAUCAGAAGAUAAUCUGCAACUCACCACUUCCCCUACUCCAACUUCAGCAAGAGGCAGCUUCUUCGUCCCUUCUGUUGUCAGAGGCACAACAGGGAUCAAGUCAUGUGAAGGAAACCAGCUGCUUCUUUGUAAAAUAACAGCCUGAUCCUCCAAGGCUGGAAGUAGAGGAAGUCUCUGCUUGGGAUCUAGCUACUGGUUCAACGAAGCUGGUGCGGUUCCUAUAUGUGGUAGCAGCCGUGGAAAAUGGGGAGAUCUCCAAUGGAAGAAGAGUCCAGCCCAGCCAAAGGAGAGUUGAACUCAAGGGCAAACCCCUGAAGGCCAAUCUCCACACACAGAUGGGAAGUUGACCCUGCUGAAGUUUGAGCUACUGGGCCUGUUUGAAGAAAUCCUACCGGAGCCGCAGAAGCUGCAACACGAAGAGUCGGAUCCUCUAAGCUCGGUUUGGAAAGCUGAUUCCUGCCCGGCUGAUGACUGCCAGAGGGGCGACCCCCCCCACACACCCCGAACUCCGGACAAUCAGCUCUGCGGCUCUCCCCACCCCUCACCAAGCGGCGGGGCGCCCGGGGUCCUGGUGGGAACCGCUGUUGCGCCGUCAGCCCGAGGCUAAGGGCGGGGGGGCACCAUUUAAUCACAGCUCUCCUCGCCUCUGUUAGCUUGUGUUGAUAUUAAAAAGAAAUCAGUCAGUGAAAAUGAAGCCUUGGCCGUGAAUAUUUCUUUUUCUCACGUGGAAAAGCAAAGAGCGA